rnacentral:rRNA from 1 species
AUUGAACGCUGGCGGAAUGCUUUACACAUGCAAGUCGAACGGCAGCACGGACUUCGGUCUGGUGGCGAGUGGCGAACGGGUGAGUAAUGUAUCGGAACGUGCCCAGUCGUGGGGUAUAACGUAGUGAAAAUUACGCUAAUACCGCAUACGAUCUAGGGAACAAAGCGGGGGAUCGCAAGACCUCGCCCGAUUGGAGCGGACGAUAUCACAUUAGGUAGUUGGUGGGGUAAAGGCCCACCAAGCCAACGAUCUGUAGCUGGUCUGAGAGGACGACCAGGCACACUAGAACUGAGGCACGGUCCAGACUCCUACGGGAGGCAGCAGUGGGGAAUUUUGGACAAUGGGCGAAAGCCUGAUCCAGCCAUUCCGCGUGCAGGAUGAAGGCCCUCGGGUUGUAAACUGCUUUUGUACAGAACGAAAAGGUUUCUACUAAUACUAGGAGCUCAUGACGGUACUGUAAGAAUAAGCACCGGCUAACUACGUGCCAGCAGCCGCCGUAA